CCCUAUUAUGUAUUUAUUAAAUAAAUUAGUAAUUUAUGAAAAUUAAUAAUACUGGCGGUUGAUUGGAGAUUAGGGGAGCUUGUUUAAUUUUAAGAUUUUACUCUUUAUAUUUUAAUAUUUUUUUGUUUAUACAUCUCUGUUAUUAAAUUGGUGAUUGAAAUUAAUUAAUAAUUAGAAUUUCAGGUCAAGAUGUAACAUUAAAUAUUAGAAAUUAGCUACAUUUAUAAAAUAAUGGAAUUUAGUAUAUAAUUAUUAAUUUAAAUUGAACUUAGUCGUAAUAUUAAUUAGAAUAUUAUUAUGAUUUUGAACAAUUAAUGUA
rnacentral:rRNA from 1 species